GUUGCUAACCAGGUGGUCCAGGCACUCCUCACACAAAAGGACUUGAAAGAGGAAUGCGUGAAACUGCGGACCCGUGUGUUUGACUUGGAGCAACAGAACCGUAUACUGAGUGUGCUGUUUCAACAACGUGUCAAAAUGUCUGCUGUUCCCAUCUCCCAGGAGGGCCAAAGAAAUGGAAAAGCAGGCAUUCCUUCAGGAAGGUGGCCAAGCCUGCUGAGCCUCACGUGCCCCCGCAGCAGUGGGAGCGGCAGCGGCAGUGAACUGUCACUGUCCAGUGCAUGCAGUGAAUUCUCCACUGGCUCCCACACUUGGGCAGAAGGGCGUGGCUCCUCUAAGCAAAAUGCUUCAAGCCGGGACAAACGGUUGAGUAAUGGCUCCGUAUCCAGCAAUCAUUCUGCACCCACUGAGCAAAAAGACAUUGGCUGGAAGGAGGGGCAUAUUUUAAAAGGCCUAAAGCGUCUUCAAAUGAGCAACUCCAAGGAUGCAUCUUCACUUGCUUCUGAACCACACUGCAAAGAUUGCAUGACCUCCAAUGAGGGUAUUUAUUCUCUUGGUGUUAAGUGUGGACAACAAGCGAUUGUAGCUAAGCAGGGAAUCCCUUCAAAUAAGCCUUUUAAAGGAAAAUCAGAGGUUGCCACUCUGGAAUCGGAUGAUCCAGAUGAGGACUCACCAAGGGAGUCUAGAGAUCAACCAAAGAAGGAGCAUCUUUGUUUGGAGAAAUUGGAUCAUGGGAAUGAUGACAGCUUUCAAGAAGACUCCUUGGGACGUUCAGGUAUUUCUGGUCUUUUCCCAUCACCUGGUUCUGACAAGUUCUUAUUUUUGGAGGGCCCAUCAGUGAAACCUGGUGUGAGCCCAUCUGAUAGCCUCACACAUCUGGAAGACACAAACACAAACUCGUUGGAGAAGCACAGGACAUCAAGCCUAAAGUUCAGUGACAGAAAUAAUAACCAGGAGCGGUACAGUGAACGUAAAUCCAGACUUGAUGAUAACAAAAGACAACAGGAAAUAAACUCACAUAAGCAAGUGGAAACAGUCACAAAUGGCGUAGACUUGUCUAUUCAACAUGCUGCUAUGAGAGCUCUUAGCUACACGCAUGAUUCAAGACAGCGCAGCUCCUCAGUGGAGGUCCCUCACUGCAGAGAGCAAGCUCAUCAAGCUCAAAGUGAAACCAAAGAUUCCACCAUCUUGGAGUCUCCACAGAGGAAGCCAUUGCCCCCAGUGUGUGACUCUGCAAGGAACGCUUUCAUUCUCCGGAGCAAAAGCGCAGAUGGAGGGCAAGAAAAACUCAAGCAUUCUCCUCUACACCAAAAGCUUAUAAAAGGUCAAAGAGCAAAAGGACAGACAAACCAAAACCUUUCAGGACACAGUGUUUCUAGCAAAAGGACAAAUGUCAACAAACCCUAUGGCUCUUGUCAGGAAACAUUGUCCAAAUCUGAGGAAGUUGGAGAUUCUAUAAUAUCAUCUAGUUCCAAGUCUGUUGAGAAUGUACAGCACGGCUCUCCUCUUGCAUCUCCUGUGAAACAAUCAAAGGUUGUCAAGAACUCAGGCAUCAACGAGGGCGCAAAAAGUCCAGCAAAAUCCUCUGUGCACAUAAGUAGGCUCUCGAGUGGUGACUCUGUGGAAGAAAGCAUCUACGACAAUUUACCCUGCUCACCAAGAAAACAGCGGCGCCAGGACAAGCACUGUGAAGUCUCCCAAACUGAGCCUAGAUCUCCCUCCUCGCCUCUCACCCCAGGUCAAAGUAUUGCCAUACUAUUUACGCACAACUCUGAUCAAAAAACAUCUGGGAAACAAACACCAACAACAUUGAAGACCCAAACAAAUGAGUUUGUUUCUUCAUCACAUACUGAAAUUCUUGACCCCCUAAAAGACAAUCAACAAACAGCUCAACAAAGAGGUGCUGAAUGUAAACCUAUGAAAGAUAUACCUACCAAUAUUCACCACACCCACAAGAUACCACCUGUCCCCAUACAAGAAUCCCAGCCUCCUGAGUCAGUCCAGUUAUGCACUCACAGAAACGCCCCAUCUCUUGGAGAAAAUGCAGCUGCUGCAAUAUUUCCCCAUCCAAGCAUCCUUCACAGAUCUCAACAGAGCAUUAGUGAGCCAAAGCUUUCAGAAUUUAUGCCACCAGUGUACUCUAACAUUUAUUACCAUGGAAAUUCCCAAAAUCCACCAUCUUCCUCAUCGAGGGCUAUGAAGAGGACUUUCCCUGCUAAUGCUAAAUCUCAUGAAGCAAUUGCUGGUCAAGAUACAAGUACCUUCCUUGUUUUUGGAAGACAACACAAAGAUGAUCUGAAAAGUGCACAAACCUUUCAAACUUUUACUUGUGACCCCCACGUGUGCCACAGUGGGGCACAUGACAAAGUUCAUAGAAAGAUUGAGACUCGUUGUAGUUCCCUAGACUCUGAGCCUGUUCGACCUGUUGCCACAGACAGCAGUGUGAUGUUAGACUGGGGAUUCGAUGAGGAAGGUUGGCUGUUCAAACGCUCAGUGUCUGUUUCCACCAGGCCUCUUUUCAAACCUGUAAUGGGCAUGAAUGGUGCAAAGGCUCGCAGUCAGAGCUUUGGUGCACGCUACAUGGACCGGCCGAGCUUCAAUAGAUCCGGUAAAGUUCGCACUCAGAUCAAAACACACUCUGGGAGCUCUUUGAAUUCUCUUGGGGAUGUCCUUCCUGGUAGUAUGAGUUGCUCCAGUAGUUACCAUUGUCCAAUGAAUAGAUCCCUUUUGAACAACUUUUUGAUUGAAGAGGGACUAACUGUUCCCACGCAGUUGGGUUCCUCCAGUGAAAGGCUUCAGAGCCUGAAACUUCAACGAGAGCAAGCUAGGCGGGUUCAGAUUGAGCAACAAUUUUCCAGCGCCUUUGGGGAGCCAGUCUCAGAAGAACCAGAAAGACAAAGUACCAUAACCACCAUUGAAGAGAAAGUUAUGCUUGGAAUUGAGGAGAACUUGCACAAAUCUCAGGAACAAGAGAGAACGAAUGAAAUCAAGCAAAAGUCUGGCUCAAGUCUUGCAAAUUGGUUUGGUUUUCGUAAAAGUAAGCUGCCGGCACCAAGUAACAAGAAGGCCGAACCAGUCAAAGUCAAAGAGGAAAAACGGGAGCAAAAAAUUACAUCACUUUUGGGAGGGAAGAAUGCAAAGUCUGACAAAAAGAAAGAACGAAGGAAGAGUGAUGGAAAAGAAAGCUCUGUUGGAAGAAGAGAGUCUCAUGAUGCAGUGAGGGCAUGCAUCUCAAUGCCCUGCCCAGGAAUGUCAAUGAGUGAAAUUCAGGGACACACAAACGUCAUCGGGGAACCAAAGUUGCAGGUGAUGAGUCUGAGAGCUGAUGAUGACAAAGGUUCCACGGUGAAGAAUGUCCCCAAGGAUGCAGUAAUAGUUUGCAGACAGAAGUGA
rnacentral:lncRNA from 1 species